rnacentral:misc_RNA from 1 species
AUUUUUUCUGUUUAAGAAACACUGCAUUUAAGCACCACAGACUGAGAAAUAAUGAAAAUAAUCUUACCGAAACUUAUCUGUAUCUCAAAAAUUCAAAAAAUUUAUGAGGAAGCAUUUGGAAGUUGAAUCAUCCCCAAAGCUCGCUAGAGCCACCGUCGGAACCACCACGCACGGUGGCCGGCCGUUGAUUGCCAGCGACGUCUGCAAGAACUGGUUACACUAAAAUGUUCCUUUCCUCCUCCUGAGUCCAUAGGUGGUCUUGGAUCACCGAUCCAUCGGUCAAAUUGUCGAAAAUCUCGUCGAAAAGUUAAAAAAAAGUCGAUUUUCUCUCUCCUCGCUGGCACCAAAAACGGCCAACAAAUCUGGCGAGGCUGGUCUCAUCUGAAAAAGCUCGCUCCUAGGAGUCCAUAGCCGCUGGAAUCACUCCAAUCGGACGUCAGGAUCACCGGAUACGAGCAUUCAAAGUUUGGGAUCCAUUUUCUUUGUUUAACAAAAACCAUAGCUGCAGUUGCCCAUUAUCGCCAAUCCUUGGCUUGCCGGCGUCGCUUGAAGUCCCUGGUCACUCACCGUUCAAUCACUGUCCAUGGGUGUGGUGUUGGCCGGAGCAAAACAAGGAGGGAGAGAGUUAACGUGAGAGGGAAAGAGAGAAUGGGGCUGUUACGGGAAAAAUUUAAUCUUUCAAUUUUUU